ensembl:lncRNA
GAGAAGUGGUUGACGUGUUUAUUUGGUGUGAGGUCAGCUACAGCUCUGAAAGCAAUAACACUAUUCCCAUAAAACAGAACUCCCAAGCUGGGCCACCAACCUGCUUGCUGCCAAAGAAGGGUGGUGGCCUAAUAAGUGAGACAUUGCUGUCAGCUCUCCAUAAAUGGAGGAUUCUUUCACUUUGUGAAUUAUGCAGGCUCUUCCUUGACCUCCCAUCUCCAACCCAUCUAUUGCUUUAACCCAUUUCUUGUUUUGUGCUGCUUCUUUCAGAUGAAGAAGGGAAAAGAGAUUUGAUUUCUGUGCCUAUUAACCACGCCAAUAGAAGGUUGUGUGAAAAAUGAAGCUAUUGGUAGAAGUUAGGAAAAAAAUCUAGUUAUAAGACCAGCAGAAGACCUGAACUUCAGAGAAGACCACAAAUGAAUUGAAUUAAAAGCACAGUUCUCUUUUCAAAAGCUAACACGAAAUGAGGAUGGGUUUUGUACAAAAGCAGCUGCUCCUGCCAGUGGGCUUAUGCAUGUCCUUCUUUCAUAUGCCACAGUCAGACCUAGGAAAUUCCCUGGGAAGUCCCCUCUACCACAGUGCUUGCAGUUUCUCCAUUUGACUAUGAUUCUGUUGGAUCUUGGGAGAUUGAUCUUCAGGAAGCUGUUAUCACAAAACAGCUCUUCCUGGAGUGAGGAGAGAGCAUGGUACCUGGGAAGACAAAGGGAGUGGACUGGGACGCGGAAAUCUGGUUCCCAUUUUAGUUCUACAACUAGUAGCCUGGUGGCUUUAGGAGAAGCCUGCCAUUUCCCUGGCCUCAAUGGUUUCGUCUGUAAAUUGGAACGGCCUGGAGAUGAUAAAAGUGAAAGCAUCUAUCACCAUGCCUGGAAGUGUUCAAGAAAUGAUUCUUUCCUGCCUGCUGACUUCCAUUUUCCAUCUGUAAGAAAAUUUGCAAGACGAAGCCCCAGAGACAGAGCAUGCCAGAUGUUGUGGAGAGCAUGGCUGCUGGGUCCCUUCGGCCACACAUGCUGAAGUCAUGAAGUCAGGAAACCUGACUCAGUAGUCGCUGUUCCAGUGUGGGGGCUGACAAAGCACCGCAUGGUCUGGGACGGCUGGAAACCGAGCCCAUCCCCGGAGCCCAGUCCUCUUCUGAGUGUGUUCUUGGGCUGGGGUCAGCGGGAGGGAGCCUGGAGACUUCGGACUACUUCAGCACUUUCUGGGAAACCGUGAAAGGUCAGGAUAAACUGGGGGCUUGGUGUCCCUGCAGUUGCAAGGGGAGUCCCGUCCACACUGUUGAUGGAUGCUGAGUGCCUGGAGUCUAACCGUGGGUCCUGGUACAGGGUCUUGGAUGCAUACUCCCACAACGAAUGAGAUGAGAUGUCCAAUAGGUUUAAAUGAGAGAAAGUAAGAAAGCACAUGCUUCCAUGUUUUUCUAUUCCAGGUUUGCCUUUAUUAAAAUUACAGUGAGACAGUCCUACAAAAAAUGAACACAAACACAAGAGUGAACCAACUCUUAAAAUGCAGACUCUAGGCUCAACCUGCUCCUCCUUGAGCCCAGAUGCAAUCAACUCCCCCUCUGCCAUAUGCUGUUGUUCCAGGUCGAGGUGGCAUAUUUAUACCAGACUUCUGUGGAUUCAGAAGACUUCAGUGCUAUGCUCAUUUGCUCCAGACUUGACACAGCCUGGCAAAGCAAAUAAGAUCCUCCUUUUUGGCCCUGCUGAUCAGCUCUGGGAACAGCCCCAGCUGCCUCUGAUUCCCUGGAGACCAGAGCAUCCUCCUGGGCUCACACCUAGAAACGUUCCCCAGAUACGGAGUUGUACGAUCAACAUGGACCCACGCUCUGGUUCUUAAAUUAGUUCAGAACAUUCACCAGGGAGACUUUGGGGCUGCCAGCCCCAAAGAUUUGAGUGGACUGCUACAGACCAGGGCAUCUUUCCUAAGUUCCCAGGUGGGUCUGAUGGACUUGCUGAGCAUCGGUGACCUGUCUGGGACAGCUGCAUUAGAAACUUUUUCUUACAGUGAUGCCUCCAAGUGCCUCCCUAGUCCCCCCACCCUCCCCCAACCAGACAGGUGCAGACAUUUGCUGUUGCUAUUCAUCAGAGCAUUUUACAACUAGCUUUCUGCAGAACAAUAAAAAACAAAAGAGUUCAACUUAAACAUAGCCAAAUGACUUUUCACAGAGCAGUAAAGUGAUUUCCUCCCCGGCUCUGCUGUGAAGCAGAUCUGAGCAGCUCUGUCCAUGCCGGACAUUUUUGCAAGUUGACCCUGGGCCCACUUCAGAAUCACCCUACAAGGGACCUGGACUGCCGGGUCCAAGGUCCAUCACUGUGGUUAAUUCCAGGCCUGCAUCCCCAGGGGUGGGUGGGAGCUGGCUGAGGCCUCAGACCAGCUGGGUAAAAGAGCCCCAUGCCCACGCUGCCUGGUGGCCUUCAGAGCGCUGCAAGGUGGGUGGUCUGCGAGCUGGCAGAGCUCAAGGCUGCAGGAGUUCACAGCCCCCUCUGGGGGACAUGACGAAUGGCCGCGCUGACAAAUCCUGGUCUGCUUUCCAUCUCGGAGCUGUGCACGGUUUCGCUUUCAAAGCAGGAAAACAAACCACGGGAAGCAGACACAACACUCACAGGCCACAAAUGAUACAGCCAUUUUCUCCUCUCAAGUCAGGGACCUGCAAAAGGGAAAGAAAAACUGCUCUGUUAGAAUUCCUUGAUGAAGAGUGGAUACAGAAAUCUCCCCCAGGGCUUGGCCUGAAACCGCCCCCGCACCCUCCCUCGUCACCCCUCCUUCUGACCAGCUUGAGAUUCAGUCCUCUCUGGUGCUCAGACCCAUCUGAUACUGGUCUUUUCCAGGGCUUCCCAGUUUGCACCAGCCCUGAUGAUCCCCAGGCCACUGAGGAAGGGCCACACAGUACACCAACCAGUCCAUGUCUGCCGGAUAUGCUUCUAGAGUGCCACUAAAACCUCUUCUGAAGAAAAGACUCUGCAGGUAAAGGACGUUCACAAUAUUCUAAUCUACUCUGACCUCACCUCCAUUUUAAGGAUGAGUCCAGUGAAGAAAGGAGGAGAAAAGAACAGUGUCACGAGAAGUGGGUUGAUUUCUGUGACCCGCUUCUCUCUGAUGUUGCCUUGUCCCCAUUCCCCUCUUUCACCCUCUGUUCCUUCCUUUAGGAUGUGCGUGGUAAUUUAAGGUUGAAUUAUCAAGAACCAGAAAGAACCACUAGAGAACUUUGUCUCUGUAGAUUGUGAAUGAAAACCAUGUUAGCUAGCC